rnacentral:rRNA from 1 species
UACAGAGGUGGCAAGCGUUGCUCGGUAUCACUGGGCUUAAAGGGCGCGUAGGCGGCAUGACAAGUCACUUGUGAAAUCUCUGGGCUUAACUCAGAACGGCCAAGUGAUACUGUCGUGCUAGAGUGCAGAAAGGGCAAUCGGAAUUCUUGGUGUAGCGGUGAAAUGCGUAGAUAUCAAGAGGAACACCUGAGGCGAAGGCGGGUUGCUAGGCUGACACUGACGCUGAGGCGCGAAAGCCAGGGGAGCAAACGGG